GACGAACGCUGGCGGCGUGCUUAACACAUGCAAGUCGAACGGCAACGCCCUGCUUUCGUGGGGUGCUCGAGUGGCGAACGGGUGCGUAACACGUGAGUAACCUGCCCUAGACUUUGGGAUAACUUCAGGAAACUGGGGCUACUACCGGAUCGCAGCUCCUGCUGCAUGGUGGGGGUUGGAUCGUUUCGGCGGUUGGGGUUGGACUCGCGGCUUAUCAGCUUGUUGGUGGGGUAGUGGCUUACCCAGUGAUUGGCCGGUCAGCGGCCUGAGAGGGUGACCGGCCACAAUGGGACUGAGAUACGGCCCAGUCUCCUACGGGGGGCAGCAGUGGGGAGUAUGGCACAGUGGGCGGGAGUCUGAGGCAGCAACGCCGCGGUCGGGAUGACGUUCUGCUGGGUGUAAACCGCAGCCGCUUGUUACGAAGCGGUAGUGACGGUAAUGGGUAAAGAAGCACCGGCUAACUACGUG
rnacentral:rRNA from 1 species